CAGAGGCGGCCUAAUGGCUAUGCACCGCAUUCUCCUUUUCUUCCUCCUAUUUUCACUCCACUCUGCAAAUCUGAUAACCAGCUCACACAUGCAAAGCCACUCACUUGGAGCGAUAUGCUCAUCUCACAGAGCGGGGAUUUGCUCUCGGCUUAUUCUCGCCAUCCACCUCCAAUAAGAGAUUUUACCUCGGCAUAUGGUUCCAAAGCAUCCCCGUACCACGCACGGUCGUAUGGAUUGCCAACCGAGACAAUCCAAUCAUCGCCCCGUCAUCCGCUAUGGUCACCGCCACCAACGAUUCUCACAUGGCAUGGAUAUUAUGGGAAGAUGGAAAAGCAAUUGAACUAGUGGAUUCCUGGAUUGUGGCGAGUUGCCCAUUUAACGAAGUUCUACAAUGUAUCCAUGUGGGACUCAUGUGUUCAGGACAAUGCCAAUGAUAGGCCCCCAAUGUGAUCAGUUAUGUUUAUGUUAGAGAAUGAAACCGCGGUCCUUCCAAAGCCAAAGCAACCUGUAUGUUUUGGUAUGAAUAAUUAUGGAGAUGGACGAGGGGAGAGCAUAGAGAAUUCUGUAGAUGCAUCAAGUAUCACAAUACUCGAGGGUCGUUAGAUGUUUUAUAACAUAUUGUAAUGUUUUCAGUAUAGCUAGUCAGUAUUUUAUGAUUUACUCUAUGUGAGCUGAACAUUUCAUA